rnacentral:rRNA from 1 species
GUGCAGUUGAGGCAGGCGGAAUUCGUGGUGUAGCGGUGAAAUGCUUAGAUAUCACGAAGAACUCCGAUUGCGAAGGCAGCCUGCUAAGCUGCAACUGACAUUGAGGCUCGAAAGUGUGGGUAUCAAACAGGAUUAGAUACCCUGGUAGUCCACACGGUAAACGAUGAAUACUCGCUGUUUGCGAUAUACGGCAAGCGGCCAAGCGAAAGCGUUAAGUAUUCCACCUGGGGAGUACGCCGGCAACGGUGAAACUCAAAGGAAUUGACGGGGGCCCGCACAAGCGGAGGAACAUGUGGUUUAAUUCGAUGAUACGCGAGGAACCUUACCCGGGCUUAAAUUGCAGAUGAAUUACGGUGAAAGCCGUAAGCCGCAAGGCAUCUGUGAAGGUGCUGCAUGGUUGUCGUCAGCUCGUGCCGUGAGGUGUCGGCUUAAGUGCCAUAACGAGCGCAACCCUUGUUGUCAGUUACUAACAGGUUCCGCUGAGGACUCCGACAAGACUGCCAUCGUAAGAUGUGAGGAAGGUGGGGAUGACGUCAAAUCAGCACGGCCCUUACGUCCGGGGCUACACACGUGUUACAAUGGGGGGUACAGAGGGCCGCUACCACGCGAGUGGAUGCCAAUCCCAAAAACCUCUCUCAGUUCGGACUGGAGUCUGCAACCCGACUCCACGAAGCUGGAUUCGCUAGUAAUCGCGCAUCAGCCACGGCGCGGUGAAUACGUUCCCGGGCCUUGUACACACCGCCCGUCAAGCCAUGGGAGCCGGGGGUACCUGAAGUGCGUAACCGCGAGGAGCGCCCUAGGGUAAAACUG